CGUUCCCUCUGGCGGUAGGCCUAACACAUGCAAGUCGAACGGCAGCGCAGUAAGAGCUUGCUCUUACGGGUGGCGAGUGGGGGACGGGUGAGGAAUACAUCGGAAUCUACUUUUUCGGGGGGGUUAACGUAGGGAAACUUACGCUAAUACCGCAUACGACCUACGGGUGAAAGCAGUGGAUCUUCGGACCUGUCGCGAUUGAAUGAGCCGAUGUCGGAUUAGCUAGUUGGCGGGGUAAAGGCCCACCAAGGCGAGGAUCCGUAGCUGGUCUGAGAGGAUGAUAAGCCACAUUGGAACUGAACCACGGUCCAUGGGCCUAAGGGAGGGACCAGUGGGGAACAUUGGACAACGGGCGCAAGCCUGGUACAGCGAUACCGCGUCGGUGAAGACGGCGUUCGGGUUGUAAUGCCGUUUUGUGGGGAAAGAAAAGCAGCAGGUUAAUACCACGCUGUUCUGACGGUACUCAAAGAAUAAGCACCGGCUAACUUCGUG
rnacentral:rRNA from 1 species